rnacentral:rRNA from 1 species
UACGUAGGGUGCGAGCGUUGUCCGGAAUUAUUGGGCGUAAAGAGCUUGUAGGCGGUCUGUCGCGUCUGCUGUGAAAAUCCGGGGCUCAACCCCGGACUUGCAGUGGGUACGGGCAGACUAGAGUGUGGUAGGGGAGACUGGAAUUCCUGGCGUAGCGGUGAAAUGCGCAGAUAUCAGGAGGAACACCGAUGGCGAAGGCAGGUCUCUGGGCCACUACUGACGCUGAGAAGCGAAAGCAUGGGGAGCGAACAGG